CCAGCUCCAUGUUCAUCUUUUAGCUCUACCUUCGUAAGAUGUGGUGAUUUGCCUUUGGCCAUAGGACACUAUCCAAAUUUGUUAUCUGAGAGAGAAGAAACUAUGGACAUGGAUGUUUGAAACAAAACAUCUUCUGGCUACAUUGUGCCCUUGAUUUCAGUCUCUUCUUUGGCAAAAUGAAACAGGAGCUAAAGUCUUCAAUUGAAGAAAAAAAGAGUAAAUAUAAGGAAUUACAUUGAUCCAGUGGCCUGAUUAUUAUUUUAGCCUGAGAAAAUAAAUGGAUAAAGUUCAAAAACAUGGAACCUCGUCAAGCAUAAUCAGAACUUUAUAUCCACAAUAUAAGCUUUUGUAAGCUCAGAGAAUCAGCCAGAA